GGAAAAAAAGAAAGACAUGUUAAAUGUUAUAAAGGAAAAGUAUGAUCUUCCUCCGGGGACAGAAAAUUGGACACUACGCUCAAUAGCAAAAAAAUGGAGAAACUGGAAGUCAGAACUUAAAAAGAAGUACUAUAAUCCUGAAUUAUCAAUUCAAGUCCUUUUAGAACA